CACGGAAGUCAUGGGAUCUCGCACUCGGACAGGAGCUCGCUCUCUCUCUCGCUGCCUGGCAGCGGGUGUGGGUGUGCUUCCAAGCAGUGCACCUUCAGUUCAAAAAUUGCACAGAAUCGCAGGUGCUGGAAGGGACCUUAAGAGAUCAGUGAGUCCAACCUGCUGCUAAAGUAGGUUCCCUACAAUGCAUCUCACAGAGGAAAAAAAAAUGAAUUGGACACAAAUAUUAAAAAUAAGUCAGACUUUAGACAUCAUUUCCUAUAGAGUGGACAAGCUUUCAGCUCCUGGAUGAUAUGGCCACAAUGAUCUCUCUCUGGACUCCCUCACCAGACUGGGAUUUGGUGAGGUGCAACUGUCACAGAUUAGAGAUACUGUCUUCUGAAAAUGAAUUCUGCUAUCAUCUCCUGUUACCCUCUGUGAGAGAGCCUAAUAAUUCAUGGUGAUGCAAUCCAUGUUUGAAAAUCUGUACCCUGAAGUUGCCAGUUGCAUAGCUUUAAGAGAUGAUGUUCAUUGGGCAGAAAGAUGCUUCUGGCUUUGGAUCUACAGACUAUGGGAUCAAAUCACUCUGAACUCAAGGGGUGCAUGGCUAAUAACUCUUUUUGCAUACUUUAUUACACAACGUACAACCAUUUCUUAUUGUACAAUCAACUUUGAUCCUGCUAAUAGCUCCUCAUUGUUAUGUUAGAUUACUUUCAAGUUAUGGGAGUAUUUUUCCAGACAUACUGUCCACUUUAUCUCUUUUGGGUGUGAACAAAUCAAUGUCUCCUCUUUUACCUAUUUAAUCAAAGCUUUUUUUCUUCUUUUAUAUGGGGUAUAGUUAAAUUAACUGAGAUGACCUGCAAAGUCAUUGCCAUCACCAUACUGGAUCAGAGAAUGUAGGCAGUGCACUACAAUCUACUUUAAUCUCAUUACAGACAUGUCACUCUUAGGCCUUCGCUGUGACUAGACAAUUAAAUACCAAUGGCUUUCUAAUGGAUUUACUACAAGGCAUUAGCUGAUGAAAAUUUUGCUGUGUUGCUGCUUCCUUUUCCUUAUAAUGAGGAACAAAAUGAUAUCAAAAGAAUCUGUUCAUUUAAUAGAUUUCAUAACAAUAUUUGUGGUAGUAGUGUAAGAGACUAUUCUUUUAUAUCAUUGACUCAAAGUUUGCUGAGGAACAAGUCCUGGGCAAAGGCAGAGAAAUCUUUUGUCUUGAGGACACUGAUGGACAGGUCCUGGCUAAGGAUUGUGAAAUCCUCUAAGGAGCACAGAUGGACAAGGCCAGGGGCAUCGAGAGAGAGAUAAGCUGCUGCUAAUGGCCGGGAAACGGUCUUUUUGUGUGGACUUAUCUCAAGGAAAAUGGCCAUCUCAGGAGGUAUGCACAGGACUCUUGCUCAAGCACCCAGGAAUGUCACGUAGGCAGCAGAAAAUGGAGGAUAAAAGAGGGUCCAAUAACCACAACGGUGGAAGCUGAUCCUUCACCACAACCACGGCAAUGGGAGAGGCUUAUCUCUCACCACGACAGACUUGAGGGGUUCUCUGCCAUCUGAUCUCUCACCACAACGUGGAGACGGAUCUCUACGUGGAGACUGAUCUCUCACCACGACACGAGCUUCCGAUCCUCCUCUACGGACCGUUUGCUGACGGACUUCCCUGGGCCCGCUACCUGAGACCUGCUGCUUCCUCCCUGACCUGCAUCCUCUCGCUGCCCCAGACCGGCCUCGCUGCUCCUGCCCUUCGGCCUCGGACCGUCGGAACGUCGUGCAACGGGACUGCUGCCGGAUCCUGGUGGUGACUAUCCCCGCUUUACGCAAUUCUUGCCUCUUUCUAUCUUUUCUAUCGCUCGCCUUCCCUUCCCCAUCACCCCAAUCCUUAAUAGCGUCCGUCCUCCCCUUUCCCCAUCUCCC
ensembl:lncRNA